AGUAAAAAAGAUGCAAGGAAAUUUGUUUACAGCCUUCCAGAUUCAGCAAAUAAUGCUAGAGAAUUAGUUAAUGCAAGACCUAAUGAUGGAAAUGUACCAGGUUCCAUGGCUAGGAGAAUGUCAGAAAGCCUCAUCAUUAGUGUGUUACAGAGGCAGUAAAGGAAAUCGAUGGUGAUGUUUCUUGUGUUGGUGAUGAGAAUCAGAGUGAGGAGGAAAUGGAUGACAGUCAAGACAAUCAUGAUUUCCACACUUUAACUCCAGGAAAAGGAAGCCACUUUCUGAUCACAGAUCCACAACAGAAACGGAAGAUUCUGCAUGCAAGUGACAGAAGAUACAAAAAAUCCCAUGGACAUCAUGUGAAAUGAUUUUAAUCAAAAAACACU